UGCUAGUCGAACGGCAGCGCGAGAGAGCUUGCUCUCUUGGCGGCGAGUGGCGGACGGGUGAGUAAUAUAUCGGAACGUGCCCAGUAGCGGGGGAUAACUACUCGAAAGAGUGGCUAAUACCGCAUACGCCCUACGGGGGAAAGGGGGGGAUCGCAAGACCUCUCACUAUUGGAGCGGCCGAUAUCGGAUUAGCUAGUUGGUGGGGUAAAGGCUCACCAAGGCAACGAUCCGUAGCUGGUUUGAGAGGACGACCAGCCACACUGGGACUGAGACACGGCCCAGACUCCUACGGGAGGCAGCAGUGGGGAAUUUUGGACAAUGGGGGAAACCCUGAUCCAGCCAUCCCGCGUGUAUGAUGAAGGCCUUCGGGUUGUAAAGUACUUUUGGCAGAGAAGAAAAGGUAUCUCCUAAUACGAGAUACUGCUGACGGUAUCUGCAGAAUAAGCACCGGCUAACUACUUGCCAACAUCCGCGGUAAUACGUAGGGUGCAAGCGUUAAUCCGAAUUACUGGGCGUAAAGCGUGUGUAGG
rnacentral:rRNA from 1 species